rnacentral:rRNA from 1 species
UACGUAGGGUGCGAGCGUCGUCCGGAAUUAUUGGGCGUAAAGAGCUUGUAGGCGGUUUGUCGCGUCUGCUGUGAAAAUCCGGGGCUCAACCCCGGACUUGCAGUGGGUACGGGCAGACUAGAGUGUGGUAGGGGAGACUGGAAUUCCUGGUGUAGCGGUGAAAUGCGCAGAUAUCAGGAGGAACACCGGUGGCGAAGGCGGGUCUCUGGGCCGAUACUGACGCUGAGGAGCGAAAGCGUGGGGAGCGAACAGG